GCGUCGGUAGAGUAGUAGUUAACUCAUUUCCCUCCCAUUGAUUGCUCUGCACACAAAAUUGUGGCGAGUGAGGAAGGAAAGGACCUGGGUGCAAAUCCCGGCCGACGCA